GGCGCACGGGUGCGUAACACGUAUGCAACCUACCCUUAACUGGGGAAUAGCUCACCGAAAGGUGAAUUAAUACCGCAUAACAUUAUGAAGUAGCAUUACUUUAUAAUUAAACUUUCGAGGGUUAAAGAUGGGCAUGCGUCCGAUUAGCUAGUUGGCGGGGUAACAGCCCACCAAGGCUACGAUCGGUAGGGGGUCUGAGAGGAUGAUCCCCCACACUGGUACUGAGACACGGACCAGACUCCUACGGGAGGCAGCAGUAAGGAAUAUUGGACAAUGGAGGAAACUCUGAUCCAGCCAUGCCGCGUGAAGGAUUAAGGCCCUAUGGGUUGUAAACUUCUUUUAUACGGGACAAAACCCCUCUACGUGUAAGGGUUGAUGGUACUGUAAGAAUAAGGGUCGGCUAACUUCGUGCCAGCAGCCGCGGUAAUACGAAGGACCCAAGCGUUAUCCGGAUUUAUUGGGUUUAAAGGGUCCGUAGGCGGAUCUGUAAGUCAGUGGUGAAAUCUCACAGUUAACUGUGAAACUGCAUUGAUACUGCAGGUCUUGAGUGUUGUGAAGUAGCUGGAAUAAGUAGUGUAGCGGUGAAAUGCAUAGGAUUUA
rnacentral:rRNA from 1 species